rnacentral:SRP_RNA from 1 species
UGUUGGUUCUCCCGCAACGCUACUCUGUUUAUCAGGUCAGGUCCGGAAGGAAGCAGCCAAGGCAGAUGACGCGUGUGCCGGGAUGUAGCUGGCAGGG